GGACCUCCAAGAGACCCAAAUACAAACAUCUACAACCACUGUCACAGUGAAAAGAUCGCUCUGACUGGCAGAAACCUUUCAGAAGUGAGGACGCGCUGACUCAUUUCCUGCUCGAAGAGCCCAGUCUUCACCAUUGCCUUGAAAGUCCUUCCGGUGCAGACUUUCCGCUUCCUGAUACGGACUUUCACAGGACUUUACAGUGAGCUCCAGGUCUUCGACGUUUGACUAAAUCCCUGCAGAUGGCCCUUUUGGCCCUCUUCCAACCUGCCUGCGUACACUGCAGGUGCUCCCAGGAAUGAUUUGAGCAGCUGGGAAGAUUCAUCUUACAAGUCCAAGCCCAGGAAAAAUGCAUGGGCCAAUCAUUUUGUCUCCUGGGUUCUGGUCUCACUUUCGGCGACAUUUUCCCUCCAUCUCCCACCCCUCCCUUUUCGUGAAUGUCUUCUGGCAUCUGAUCUGACACUCACACUAGGACCUCAGGGAACUGCUGGCUUCAUACAUCACCCACUCAGCAGUAUUUAUGUUCCAAUAGGUACAAAAAGGAGACGUUAACGUUUAAAAUGGAGAAGGAAUUUCUAAUCCUGGAAUUUCAAGUAAUAGUAAAAAAUCUAAAACUGUCUUUUACAUUUACCAAUAAAAGCCAAAUAU